ensembl:lncRNA
CCAUUUCUGCAAAAAAAAAGCAGUUGAAAUUUUGAUAGAGAUUGCAUUGAAUUUGUUGAUCACCCUGUGGAUUACUUAAAUUAUUUAAAUUGCUCAUUUAGGAGAGCAAUGUAGUGGCUCAAGUUUAAUGUAUUGGAAUAUGACUGAAUAAUAUUACCUUAUGAACGCAUGGUAGCUGAGGGGACUUUGUAUGUUCCCUGUGUUAGGGACACAAUUUGUCUCUUCUAAACAAAAGACACUGCUGAGGAGUAACAUGGGCGAAUUCUUUAUCCCUGAGCCACUGGGGAAGCCCCACAUACAACCUACAGCAGGGUCCAUCCACGUUGCUGCGAAUGGCAUCGUUUCCUUAGCAGCUCAACCCUUCUUAAAGCAGCAUGGCUGCUUGAGGCUUGGCCUGCAGAAAAGACUCAGGACCCUUGGGCUGGCCCUUGCUGCAGAAACAUGAAGCAGCUGCUUCCUCAGGCCUCCAAGGACUCGCACGGUGAUGCAGGAAGGUCUCCGAGUGUCAACAAUGCUGUCUUGUUAAAAGACAAAGAAUAGAUGAGGCUUUUGUUUUCCUUGGAACUGGACUGACUGACUUCCAGCAGCGUCCUACAAAAGAGGAUGUCCUAUGGGAAGGGGUCGAGGUGGGAUUGGAGAGUCAAAAGUUCAAGGGUUAUAUGGCCAUUCUGCCACCAAUUCAUCGUGACUCACAGUUUCCUGGGUUAUGUAUUAUUUUUCUACUUAUACACCUAUGGAUUUGUAAAUAAAAGCAAGCCCCUUAGUUAGGGAAAGAAUAUAGAAUACGUGUUUCUAUUCUAAAUGAGAGAAAUACCUGUAUUCACUCCAAUUUCUUUUUUCAUGGAGAGAUAUACACAGAAAUAAAAU